GUACUUGCUUCAGCAGCACAUAUACUAAAAUUGAAGUGAUACCGGGAAGAUUACACUGGUCCAUGUGCAGGGAUGACAUACAAAUUUGUGAGGUGUUCCAUAUUUUA